CAGGCCUAACACAUGCAAGUCGAGCGAAUGGAUUAAGAGCUUGCUCUUAUGAAGUUAGCGGCGGACGGGUGAGUAACACGUGGGUAACCUACCCAUAAGACUGGGAUAACUCCGGGAAACCGGGGCUAAUACCGGAUAAUAUUUUGAACUGCAUAGUUCGAAAUUGAAAGGCGGCUUCGGCUGUCACUUAUGGAUGGACCCGCGUCGCAUUAGCUAGUUGGUGAGGUAACGGCUCACCAAGGCGACGAUGCGUAGCCGACCUGAGAGGGUGAUCGGCCACACUGGGACUGAGACACGGCCCAGACUCCUACGGGAGGCAGCAGUAGGGAAUCUUCCGCAAUGGACGAAAGUCUGACGGAGCAACCCCGCGUGAGUGAUGAAGGCUUUCGGGUCGUAAAACUCUGUUGUUAGGGAAGAACA
rnacentral:rRNA from 1 species